AAUAGCCUAACGGCUGAACCAGCAACUUGGGGGAAUGUAUAGCUUCGGCUAAUUAUACUUGGCUGUUUAAUUAAUUAUAAAUAAUUAAAGUUAUUUGUGAAAGAUUAAUCAAUUUAUCCGUAAUAGGUUUAUGCUACUAAACAUAGCGUAGUAAAAUUAAUUUGCUACUUUUAUAUUAAGAGAUAUUAAUCUCGUAGACAGGUAUAAGAUCGAUUUUAUCGAGUAAAGUUCUAGAGAAGAAAAAAAUUGAUGAUGACAAACUUCUUUUCUAUAUGUCUUGACCAAAUUACGUGCCAGCAGUCGCGGUAAUACGUAAAAGACUAGUGUUAUUCAUCUUUAGUAGGUUUAAAGGGUACCUAGACGGUAUAAUUAGUCUUAAACAAGAAACGGUUAUGCUAGAGUUAUAUAUGAGAAGGGGAGUAUUUAUGGAGUAGAGUUGAAAUUCUUUGAUCCCAUAACGACUGGUAGCGGCGAAAGCAACCUUUUAUCUAAUAACUGACGUUGAGGGACGAAGGCUCGGGUCACGAACAGGAUUAGAUACCCUAGUAGUCCAAGCAGAGAAUGAUGAAUGCCAUAGAUUAGAUGUUAAUUUAGUCUAUAAAUGAAAGUGUAAGCAUUUCACCUCAAGAGUAAUGUGGCAACGCAGGAACUGAAAUCAUUAGACCGUUUCUGAAACCAGUAGUGAAGUAUGUUAUUUAAUUCGUAAGUACGCGAAAAACCUUACCACAACUUGAAUAUUAUCUUUAAGAUAUUACAAGCGUUGCACGGCUGUCUUCAGUUAAUGUCGUGAGAUAUUGGUUAAUUCCAUUAAAUUAACGGAAACCCUUGCUUUAUUUGGGUAUAAAGCAGUUCACCU
rnacentral:rRNA from 1 species